CUUGUGGCUCCUGUGAUCGUCACUCCAGCCACACUUCUUCAUCCCAAAUAUGGGCGGAAGCAGCAGUUUCUUCUCAGAGAAGCGCUUGAAUCCACUUCAUAGUUUUCCAACACCUAUAGAACCAGCUUCAUUCUCUAGCACCACCCGAUGGGGACCUUUUCCUUAACUGUCUGAGUCUUAGCUUCUUUAACACCUUCUCCUAAGUCUUGAAGUUUUAAUAACUCCAACCUCUUACCUUUCAUGUUAUAGCCCUAAGAGUGUGAGGCAGCCGUGAAAAUGACCCUCACAGACCUUUGGCUACAGAGAUCAUAAUUAGGGUUGCUAGAUUUCACAGAUAAAAGUACAGGAUGGAUGCCAGUUAAACUUGAACAACAAAUAACUUUUUACUUAAUUGGUGUGGUUUCCAUCUCUUGACUAGACCCAGACUGGAUGCCCCUAAGCUUGGUGAGAAUGCUAAACUGCUCCAGGAAGUCUAAGUGACUAACUCAUGCCAUUAAAGAUUGGACCCUAAAUUUUAAAAACCUGAAGUUCUCAGAGUAUCUUUACAUCUAAAACUAUCUUGGAGAUUUCCAAAGAAAUUCUGGAAAAUCACAAAGAUGAGUUCUUUUAUCUUAUAAAAAAUGUUAGAAAUAAUCAGGUUUGUUGGGUAGCUCAAUAUUGUUAAAAAAGCUCAAUACUACUGCAAGAGCAGAACGGGAAGGGUUAUCCAAUCAGAAGGGAGGUGCAGCCUUCUCUUAGUUAAGUUUGUAGAGGUAAAAUAUUAUUAAUAUAAAUAUUUCAGAGACUGUACACUUUGCAGGAAGGGCCUUAAGAUUUGGCACUUCCAUUGCUGUCCAUAAUAUGUUCUUAUCCUCUGGCAAAUAUUGAUCGAACCAUUAUGAAACAAGCAUGCAUCAGACAACUUUGUUCUCCUCCACUCUAAUAUUGCUGGUCGCUGUAAUAAAUUAACCACAGCCAUUCAGUCUUAGAGGUCAUUUCUGCUUUUCUCUCAUGUUUGCCUGGAGGCUCUGCUAUAAGUUACAAGCCGGAGAUAGGAUCUUCAACAAAAUAGUUUUAGAGCCUUGAGCAAAGGACUCUACUGGGUGCUUGUAAGUAUUGAUACUUCAAAGAACAGACUCCUAAACACCGGCUUCUGUGCUGACAGCCCUCGGAUGACUCUCAGACUGUACCAGGGUUCUGAGUCAGGAUUUUCAGGAUUCAUUUUUUUGGUCUGGAAACUGAUAAUUUUGUGAAGCCAGAUUGCUGACCCAAGAUUCAGUAAAGCAAGAAUUAAUGAUACAGGACCAAAAGACUGAUGAGAGAAAUGAGGCCCCAGAUUGUUUCUGGCAUCAGUAAAAGGAAACCAGGCCCCAGGAUCAAACUAAAGACCUCCCUCCAAAGCGGACAGGUCUCUCUCUCUCUCUCAACUCUGCUCUCAGGUAAAGCAAUGUCUGAGGUUUGCCUGGAAUAAGCUUGACUUUGUAGAGCUUCUAAGGACACGCAUGAAGCCAUUACCUACCCACAGAGGUCCAUAUAAGUACUCAAAAUGCACAGAAAAAUGGAAAGAAAAGAUGGAAGAAAGAAAAUGCAGUGUGAUGUCCUGAGGUGAGCUGGAGAAAUAGUGCUAACCCUUAUACAGUCUUGUAGCUGAAGAGUGACAUCAUUUCUAAAUGUCUUGGACUGAUGUUUAGAAUGGAAAUAAGAAGAGAAUAAUAUUGAGAAUGUUGGCAUGGUUUUUAAAGUUUCCCUCAAGGAUCUGAACAGUGAAGUGUCUACAAAGGAAGAGACAAAGGUGAACCGAGAGAACAACAAAGGGUGGGACACAGACUUCAGCCUCCCCCACCCCCCUCCAGGGACCUUCUGCCUUAGGGCUUGGGGACAGAGGUAUAGGUCAUACUCCUGAGUUGUCCAUCAGGGAGCUGAUUUUCCACUGAACCUUCUCAUGUCCAUCCCAACUGGCAGAGGAUGAACAAGACUGGGCUUGUUGGCUGGAAGAUGAAGUGACUUGGAGAGAGGCCGCAACUAUUUGAGCUAGGGCCCCACCCAUGUGAAUGGGUCUAGCUCAAGUAGAACCUGCUCAGACUAGGAAAAUUUUCCAGUGAGCCACAGAAUGGCUUCCAUCCUGUGUUUCAGCCUGGCUCCACUUAGGACUACGUCUGGUCCCUUUAUUCACUGAGGUACGAGGGCUGCAUGUACUGACAGUCUGGGUAUUCUCAACACAUCUCCAGAUCCCCAGGAGAACUGAAGAAUCACAGGAUAUUAUUUCUGAGUCUUCUAAAUCAAAACCACCUAGUUUGGAAAUAAGGCUCAGUGUGAUCCUGAGCAUCCUUAAUGUCAAAGAAAGAGACAGAAGAGUCAGAUCAGAGGGGAGAGAUGUGAGAAGAACUGAAGCCAUUGUUGCUGGCUUUACAGAUGGAAGAAAAGGGCCAUACUCCAAGGUACUUCUGGAAGCUGGAAAGCCAAGUGAAGAGAGUCUUCCCUAGAGCCUCCAGGAAGGAACACAGUCCUGCUGAUACCUUGAUUUUAGCCUACGGAGACCCACUCUGGACUUUGGAACUUUAGAAUUGAAUGAAGAAGAGAUGCAUGCCACAGCGAGGCACUUUCUAGCCAGCCAAUCUCAGGUACAUCCUACCCUGGAGAACAUGUUCCAUGUCCCUUCAAGGCCGGCAGAGUUAAAAAAAAAAUCCACCUCUGAUUGGAGAGCCCAGAUUUUAUUUCUGGUGAAGCUUGCAGGUGGUAAGGCUUGUUAAAGCAGUUUGAUCCAUCAGCCUCCCCUCUCUUGAGGCUCUCAGUAUGAGAGAAUCGUACAUGAACAAUAGUUGUUGGUUUUCUCCUUCUUUUUCCUCUUCCCCUCCUUCUCCUCUUCUCUUCCUCCCCCACCACUCCUCCCUGUUUUUCCUCUCCCUUCUUUUUCUUCUUAACCUGACUUGCAUUAUUGUCCAGAGCUGACCAGGGAAGCAGUGAGGUUUGGAAAAGGAUCUACAACACAUUGGUUCACUAAAUACUUAUUUUGCUGCUAUGAAAUUCUCCAGUGUAUGGCAGGAAGUCACAUCAUAAUACUUUUUUCAACUUACUGUCAACUUGUAUUAUUUUGUAACUACUGAAGUGAAUGCCAGCCCUGAAAUUUAGCCGUCUACCCUUCCAACAGGAAGGACAAAGUACAUUUCAUUCAAGUAAAUAAAACAAACAUCUGCUUUCAUGGGCUGGCCCCAACUUACUUUUCUAGUUUCUUCCUCUACCACAUUCCUAAUUUGCCCAACACACACACACACACACACACACACACACACACACACACACAAUGCUAUUAGCACAUUCUUUUCCUCUAAGCUUAGAACAGUUUUGGAGCUCUAACUAGUCGAAUACAUGAAUGAAAUAAGCUGUGCAAUUACACUAGGUGCAUUUGCUCAUACUUUCCCAGUUUUGGAAUACCACCCUUUCCACUAUCCUAAUUUUAAUUUCUAUUCAUCCUUAAGGUCCAACUUGCUGCUCUUUUUGAAGUCCUCAUUGAGUAUCACUCCUUUUCUCCUCUGUAUAUUCAUAAUGUCUUACUUCUUAAUGUCACCUCACUUCACCUUUGUGUUUGCUUGGCUUCCUCUCCCUGUGCAGUGCAGGUUCGUCGUGGUAGGAAACAUCUUUCUCAUCUCUGUACCUACCACCUAGCAUACUGGUUGCCAUAAGGUAAGCACUGAAAUGUUUAAUGUGUUGGUCAACUCUUUGAUAAGCUCUGGGAGAGUGACAUUCCUGGCAUGGGGGGCAGGCGGUGGCCAUCAACCAAGAUAAAGGAGCAGAGCAGGAGUUGAAGGUGAUUGUGUGCCCUGACACAGAUAUCUGCGAGUCACCUGUAUCUGCAGGUCUGGAGCUGAGGAGAGAUCAAGACCAGACAUACAGAGUUGGGAGUUCCUGGUGCAGAGGUCUGGAGGUUGGGGAGUCCAAGAUCAAGGUACCAGCAGAUACAGUGUCUGGUGAGGGUCCACUUCCUGGCUCGUAGACAGCCACCUUCUCACUGUGUCCUCACAUGGCUGGAAAG